GGAUGUAAGGGCAAUCUGGCUGUGACAUCUGUCACCAUGUUGAUCGGGGUUGACUCAGCUGAUCUGGCUGGCUAGGCGGGUGUCCUCUUCCUCCCGUGUCACCAUUCUAUGUGCGUCCCUCCUGAAGUCGUGGAAGAGGAGGGCCUUGAAUAGAGAUGGAUGGUUCUAGGUGGAGAGUAUAUCAGUGGCUGUGCUGCUCUGCUAAAACCUACAAACAGCCUCUCAAGAGAUGUUUAGUUGCUGUGAGUUCAUAGGGUAAAGAAAGCUCACAGAGAAUUAAAUGUUUCAAAAUUCAGAAUUCAAAAUUAAUUUUAAAAGUUU
rnacentral:snRNA from 1 species